AUGAACGCUGGCGGCGUGCCUCAUACCUGCAAGUCGAGCGCACAGAUGAGGAGCUUGCUCCUCUGACGUUAGCGGCGGACGGGUGAGUAACACGUGGAUAACCUACCUAUAAGACUGGGAUAACUUCGGGAAACCGGAGCUAAUACCGGAUAAUAUAUUGAACCGCAUGGUUCAAUAGUGAAAGACGGUUUUGCUGUCACUUAUAGAUGGAUCCGCGCCGCAUUAGCUAGUUGGUAAGGUAACGGCUUACCAAGGCAACGAUGCGUAGCCGACCUGAGAGGGUGAUCGGCCACACUGGAACUGAGACACGGUCCAGACUCCUACGGGAGGCAGCAGUAGGGAAUCUUCCGCAAUGGGCGAAAGCCUGACGGAGCAACGCCGCGUGAGUGAUGAAGGUCUUCGGAUCGUAAAACUCUGUUAUUAGGGAAGAACAAAUGUGUAAGUAACUAUGCACGUCUUGACGGUACCUAAUCAGAAAGCCACGGCUAACUACGUG
rnacentral:rRNA from 1 species